GGCCCGGCGGCGGCGCGGGUGUCCCGGCUGGGCUCCGCCGCCAAGUGCGGCCUAAACGGGUUGGCGGGGACCUGGCUGCGGCCAUCCCUGGGCGGUGCGGGGAAACAAGGGCCGGAGGGCGGCCUUGCCUCUCCGUCCAUCCAUCCCUGCAUCCAUCCAUCCAUCCGUCCGUCCAUCCCUUCCUGCAUCCAUCUCUCCUCUGCCUCCCUCCAUCCAUCCGCGGUGCCAUCGGUGAAUGCAGCGAUUCGGUCCCCGUCCCCCCCGACAGCCCGUACCGUUGUGCCCGCCGAGUGACCCGACCCCACCGGGCGGGGGGCGCGCACAGGGCCGGGGCUCGGUACAGCUCGGUGGUUUUCCGCUCGCCGUGUUCCGACUAAUCACAAAAGAAGGAAGUGCGUUUUUCCACAGGUUUUUGAGCCGACGGACCCGUGAUCUGCACAGCGGCCCUCUCUCAGGCUUAGCACUCCAGCACUGUAAGCUGCAAUUCUAUUAUAUACUGCAAAUAAAUCUGCUUUAAGUGAUGCAAAUCUAACUGUAAUUAAUGUUAAGUCUGCCUUCUACAACCUGAUGCAGUUCACCUACCCCCCUCCUGACUUUAAGCACGCAUUUGGACGCCAAUUUGCUAAUUAGUCCAACAUGUUUUGCUGUGCUUUUUGUAGGAGUGUCCUGUGAGUGUCGCAACUAUCUGAGGUCACAGAGGCAUCGAGCAGCUUUCGUAUCAGCUAAUAAAGCCACACGAUGAUACCUUUGAAUCAAGAUAUUCCGCCGGGUUUAGGGAACACGGUUCUUUAUUGGGUUUUUAUAGAGUUACAGGCGAGUUUCCCGGACCCUCCGAGCUUCCUGCCGCCGCAGCCGGGCUGGCCCCGGGCAGAGCUGCGAUCAAAACAGGAAGGAUUUGAUCCAGAACGUGAAGAGAAGGUGAAAACCUGCACAUGCCCCACGUCGCAGGAAGUUCACGUUCAAGUCACAACGAAAGUUUCUAUUCCCCUUCUCACCUUCUCACAACCCCUCGCUGUGAGCCACUCGAGCUGUGUUGCGUUCUUCAAAGAGUGUUAGACGAAGUAGGGAGCUGCUUAUCUUACUCCUUGUAAUGCUCGCCGAUAAGAUCUCCCUCCAGAAAGUGUUUUUUUCUGAUGAUUCUGGAGCCCACUGGGACAAUUCUUUUAGGUUUAGGGGGAUUAUCUUCGUCAUUCAUGAGACGAAACGAUCAGGACUAACGAGCUACUUUCUGCAAAGACGUUUGACAGAGCCCCGCGGUAGAGGAGGCUUCGCGGCAUUUUCUGGCCGGGCAGUUUUACUUGCAGGAGGCCUGCAGCACUCCAACUACCCUCUACUUAAUUAUUUUUGCUAUGUGGUGUGAUUAACAGAAGAUGCGAACUUUAUUCUGAACUGUAAACCAACAAAAAAUAAUGUGAGACUGUCGUAAGACUUGCAGGUCUAAUUUUGCAGUAAUUUAGCAACAGGGACCACCACCAAAGCCUGUGGAUUUUAGUAGCGAUUAGUCACAAAAUAAAGUCACUUACAAGCCAUCUGAAUGAACA
rnacentral:lncRNA from 1 species